ensembl:lncRNA
UUGUUAUUCUGCAAUGUGAAAGGUCUGGAAAAGGCUUGUGGCUCAUCGUGUGUUCUCCUUUGGGAUCCCAUGGCCUAGAUGCUGGAAUCUCCUAGUGUCUAAUGUGUGCUUUGUCACCGAGUUCAGCUGUCUAGCACUGAUGUCUUAACACCGUCUGAGAUAUUUCAGGAUACCCCCUCUGGCCUCUAGCUGCUCCUGAAGGAGUCCCGGAGCUGCCGUCCCCUACCCUUAAGGGCGGAAAGCUGAGUGCAUGCAAGAUGGAGGGCUGCUGCUGGGGUUGCCGCAGCCAAAUGAGGGCCUACAGGGUCAGGUUGGCUGCUCUCACAGGAACGCGUUGGCAUGGCCAAUGUUGGGCAAAACAAAGGCCAGUCAGUAAACAUCUCCCGCCUGCCAAAAGCACAAAGGGCACCACAGGAAGAGGCCUGCAGACUUUGCACCCAGCACUUGUGCAGGGGAUCGUCGGCUCUCUGCAUUUCUACGAUCCAGAAUGCUUUCACAAAAUGUGGCCAGGGCAGAUAUACAAGUUUCUGGCUGGGACUCAGGUAUUACGACUGUUGGUUUUGGUGGACAGAAAAAGUCCCUUUCUGUUCAUUUAUAAGCUGUUUGAGACUUUGAAAAGCCAGCCCGUGGCUCUGUCGCAGGGCCAAGCCUCGUAGCUGUUCUGGAACAGGCUACAGCAUCCGCUGAAACCCGUGCCCAUGUUGAACCGCAUCCAGCGCUGUCAGCACACGCCACAGCGCGCUGGCAUUGAGGACUUGCAGUGGGCACGUGGGCCUGGCGGGACGGUUCCUGUACGCUUCCUGAGCUGGAGUGAUUUAAGCCUCCUGGCACGUGGCCCACUGCAUCACACGGCUCUGAAACACUCAGAUAUGCCGGUGUGCCUGCGGCUGCAGAGGAAGAAGAGGCUGCUGCAGCCAGCUGCUGGAGAUUAGCACCCGUUCCUAACUACAUGCACAGUUAGUGCCUAAUCCGGAGCUGUCAGUAAGGUCUGGGCUAACAUGCACAUAUUUAACAGCUGGUUUUUCUGAGCCUGGAUCACUCUGACUAUAACCUGGCUAAGGAGUAAUGCCACGUGCAAUCAUGCCAUGAGGUCUGUGGGGCAGCAGCAGUCUUUGCUUAUCAUAUGGAGUGAGCUGCUCAGUGUAGGCAGGGGCAAUGCAGCCAGACACAGUUCCAGACCCAAAUACUUACUAUGAAUAUUCUCUGCAGCCUCAGGUGGACACAACAGGCAUGCAGGAUUUUCAGGUCGCAUAUUCCAGUUGUGCCUGGCCCUGGGCAGCUGAGGGCUUGCUGCUGGUUGCCUCUGAGAUGGUUUCAGGUUCUCUCUCUUUCAAGCCACCACCCUCAUUGCUUUCAGUUCCUCUGCAUGCCUCUGCACGCUGAACUUCUCUUCUGUGCCUGAGACAUGAGGCAGCAGCCAGGCUGUCCCAGUCAACCAAGCCAGAGAUGCUCAUCCCUGUGGUGCAUGGAAAAAUUGAAAUGCUUCCCAUGUGAGAGUAGAAAAUUUCCCCAUACCAGACCACAUUUCUGCUUGCUUCCCUUUCCCUGGAAGCAGGGCAAGAUGUCCCCGGUGUGGGACAAUCCACUGGGGACCCACGGUAAGUCUUUUACACAAACAUGUUCCGGAGUUCAAGAGGAAUUUGAACAACACUCUCAGAAACACAGGUUGUGUGUUCCUGUGUAGAACCUGAGCUCGAUGGAGGAGCUGGGCUGGAUUCAGUGAUCCUUGUGGGAUGUUUUUAGGACAAACUUUGUUGCUGAUAGGAUCAAGGGGAAAAAAUGCAAUGUGAAUGAUUAUAAAACUGUGCAUGGAUUGGAGAUGGGAGUUGGUGUCUGUUCUGGUGAAUUCAGAGCUUAUUAGCAAUGACAAAUGGCCACUGGUUGGCAUCAUGGGUGCAGGUUUCCUGUGACAGAUUCUGCCUUUCACAAUUACCAUCACUAAAAUACUUGAAAAUAUGUCUUCGUUUGCUAAAAUACCCCAAAAUGUGUAAUUUUCAAGAAGAAGAAGUGUACAGACCAGGGACACUGGUUAGUUUAUAUAGACACACGACUCCCUGUGCCCUCUCAUGGAAAUUUUACCAUCUUCAUCCUUUCGAAACUCCAGAGUCAGGAGAAGAAAUUUCAGCUGUGCCUCAUAAACCAGCAUUUCUAAAACAGCCACAAGUCUUUGGAGGGGAUCCCUGCACCUACCUGCCAGGCAUUCAGACCUGGGGAUUAUGAGACACCAAACGCCAGGCAGAGUUUUACAAGUCAUUCUUAGUUCCCUGUUGGUGAACGUCAAUGAAAAAAGGACCUAAAAGGAACAUUUUGUGAAGAUGUUCCUUGCUCUAUGAAACAAGAACUGUUGUGGUAGAGUCCCCGUUGUCCUCAUCCUUUCACCUAACUGACGUGCUUAUUGCUUAAUCCUGUCUUAUAUGGAUUCCAACCUCAGAUCAUGUGGGAAAAGUGGGACUUGAUUAAGACCUAAUUGCCUGUUGUAUAUGCUUGAUAACUUUAAGGUAUGUGUAUGAGGGGCCUGAGGAAGCAAAUGGUACAAAUGACGUCAGUUCAUCCCCUGGACAAAAAUUAAUUUGCC